UACUUAUUGUUUACCAUAUUUCAACACCUAAGCUGUGAUGUCAUUGUAAUUGACAAUAAAGUCGAUUGUUUCAAGCAUAAUAAAGAGAAGUGGAAUAGCAUUAGAUUCAGCAUUUGUUAGCAUGUUUAAUCUUUAUAAUCUUCGGUGAAAUAAAGUACUUCUAAAGCUCAAUUGCCCAAAGUAAAGUAUCGCCAUUUAGUGAUUUCAAAUUUCGUGAUGACAUUUCGUCUUCCUUUAAUUGCAUAAGACGUCACAUUCUCAACAUUGGUCUAUCUUAAAAUUAUGUAAUUAUGUUGUACUAGUAGUUCAGAAUAAACCCGAUUUCAAAAAUCGAAUCUUACGUACGACAAACUACGGAUAUUGAUAUAUCCAAAUUUGCCUUAAGCAUGAAAAUAGCAAAUAGCAACGUUGACGUUCAUUUAACUGUUUUUAUACGUUGAAAAGGGGACUUCCCUAAAUAUCCACCCACCUCCACACACACCCACUAAGAGAUUAUUAAAUGCCAGUUGGUUGGUAUUUGGUUGUUUUACUCAAAAUCCCCGUAUUAGGCUGUUAGUGUUAUACCCAAAAUAAAUAAUAAGCAAUUUACCCGUUUUAAAGUAUCGAACAUAGUUAUCAUAGAGAAGCUGGAUGUUGAAAUUUAAAGUGUCGAAACUCGCUUUAACCUUUGUACUGUUAUGCUAAUAUAUUUCCGGUUUGGAUCUGAUAUCUUUACUACACAUCUGUUGCCAGUCGGUCUAAUGACAGAACUUCGCACUUAUGGCACAGGUGAAGAAGAUUUACGAUAAAAGGCGAUGGUAUUUAUUCAUAGUGUCGUGGUACUAUAUCCGUACAAGUAUAUCUUGUCCGCCGGGCACUUUUAAAAGCGAUUUUUUAAGCGGGGGUUGUACACCGUGUCCCAGUAACUUGGAGUAUUGUAAGAAUGAGGAAUACAACGAUUCGAUACGCUGUUUUAAAGCCUGCCGGAAAUUAUUUACAACAAAGGCACCAAUCACCAGCCCAACAAUCCCAGUACUGGUGACAAAACCCACAACGACACCUCGUCCAAUCACAAAAUGGGUAACAAAACGCUGGACGAUAACCGAAUUUGAGAAGUUCAAGAAGACACUCGAAUUCUCAACGCCAACUGUUCUGUCAGUUAUAUCGACUGGUAAGGGCAACUACAACAACAACAAUGGCAAUUCCAUCGGUGUGAUAUCAGCUAUACUGAUAGCAGUAUUGAUAAUAUGUGUCCUAAUUGGCAUUUUGUUGCGGUUUAUCUGGCGACUAUAUCAGAAAAACAAGAGAAGUGGUCAACAACAGGAAAGGCCACCAAGUCCUUGUUAUUCAGCGGUACAGCAGUCGAACUCCAGUAUUGAGGAUGAUAUCCAAGAAGAUGCCAUACCCGAAGACUCAGUGUCUCGUGAAAAUUUCAAUAACUUGACCGAGACAACCCUGUAAUGUGGUGAUGUUGAUAGACAAUUAAGGGGACGCACAUAAUGUAUAUUGUUAUUAAAAAUAACGUAUCUAUCGCCAUAUUUUAUCAUAGUUUUAAAUGUAUAGUUUUGAUACUGACAUGCACCCAAAAGCUCACAGACAAAAGCAACCGUAAUGGCAUCAGGAUUCAGGAAAGAAGAGCGUGGUUUGUUGCAAAAUUUUGACAGCAUUAAAGCGCACAAACCAACCCAAUGAUUAAUUCGGCUAAAUCGCUUAACGAAAUUAAUCGUCUUAUUAUCUAUUGUUGGACUUUAAUUCGAGGUAUUUAACAGGACCAAAAUGCAAAGUGUAAAGUUGGCACAUUUACACGAGGGAAAAUAAGCAGUGAAUAAACAGUCAAUUCGCAAAAAGGCGCGGCUCAUUUAAGCCAAAAGUGUUCGCCUAAGCGUUUUGUACUGUAUAAAAAUAUUGCUUACGUUUUCACUAGGCGAUAAAAUUCCUUCACGUUCUCAAAAAACGCUUCGGUUUGGCUUUUUGAAACGCGCAUGCGUAUUAGGAUGAUGUUCUAUCUGCUGUUUCCGUUGCCGUUGGGGUUGGUUUUGCUUUAACUCUCUAGUAUUUCACUCAUACAACGUCUUGAAUUUUAAUUCAAUCCAAAAUUUUGUAAUUAUUCCACGAAACGCAAAUUCUGAUUGAGCUCAUUAGGCGGGUGGAUGUUUUAUCACUAAGCGUAUAUAAUAUGAAUGCAGGCAUUCAGCGGUAAUUUUUAUGAUGUAUGCACUCAAAUUGUAGUUUGGAAUAGCGAAACUGCGAAACAAAAAAAAAAAAAAAAGAAAAAGAAAGGAUUAAAAAGUUAAAAUAAUAACCAAUUGCGUUCAAAAAAGGUUCAAAUUUUUCACUUUCUCCUAAAAACAGUGAAACUGAAACAAAAGAAAAAAAGAAACCAGUUCUAUGAUAAGGAAAUGGAAGUGAAACUUUGUUGUAAACUCUGGUCACAGAGUCGUUUACGAAAUUUGCAUUUUUCGUUAUCACAUAACUUGUCAUUUUUCGCCGUCUUCGCUAAUUUUACCAUAUUUCAAAGCGUUUAUAAAAAUGGAUUGCGUAAUUGUUAGUAUAAUGCUUAUAUAUCAACCAAGAUAGUCGCAACCUUUAAAAUAAACAGAGAGACGACAUUUGAAAACUAUAUAUAGGAUGUCAAAUGCAUGUCAAAUUCAACGUAUUCGAAGCUUGCAAUUUUCUUGUUCCUGGCUAAACGUGUAGUUUCAGGCUUCUUAAAGUGCCAAUUAAAUUAUCUUAUCAUAUUUCAAUUUCAUGCACUUUCAUUUUGUCAGAAAUGUUCGCAUGUACAAUUUUAUCAGAUUGGUAAUGGAAGUUUUUAUUGUGUAAAAUGUUGAUUGUUUCAAUGCCAUAAUUAUAUAGAUUUUUUACCAAAAAUCUUUCCUAAUUUUUUCGACACUGUAAGAAUAAACGAUUCGUAUAAUGUGAAAAAAAACUCAGUCGAAAUGUCAACCUACAGAUAAAUAUCAAAGCACUAACUGGCAUAAUUUUGCUACGUGAACCAAAAAAAUUUAGACGCUCGUUGUACGUGCCAAGAUAAAAGCAAUAAAAAUUUUAAAAGAAAGCUUCCUUUACAAUUAUGGAAGCACAAAUGUGAGAAUAAUCUGACCAGACUGUAUGACCGGCAGUAUCUUGAAUUUUAAUACACAUUUAACAUUGAAAAAACGCUGGCGAUCAGUUUCGCCGAGAAAGACAGUUUCAACGAUUAUUAAUGACUUUUAGUAUCACAGAGAUUUAAUUUUACAAGUAUUAAUUACGUUUUAUUUUACACUUGUAUUAAACUUUGAAUUCUCUGCAAGCUAGGAAACAAGAUUGGAAGUUUCAAAUCACGAAAGCCUUUAUGAUCACUGUAUAAAUAGCAAUAAUAAUUUUGACAUUGAAAGUCAAUUAUAUACAUUACAUACGACUUUCUUGCGUAAAAAUGUAACAAUUUUUCAAUUCACUUUUAUAAUGUAUAAUUAUGCUUUUCAAUUUUGUAAUAAGGUAAUUUAUAAUAACGAAGU
rnacentral:misc_RNA from 1 species